rnacentral:lncRNA from 1 species
AUUGGAACAACGGUUUUUGGGUCUUUUGGUUCAGAGUACAUGAAAUCAUUCUCUCACUACAUUUCUUUCCUAUUACUCCUGUAUGGUUUUGCAAUCCUCUUUCCUUUUAUCUAUAGUGAAUGUAGCAUUUUUCAAAAGCUGUUCUUUUAUUGUUUUUCGCUUUUCUCUUUCUUUCUUUUCAUGUUGUUGUUGUUUUUCUUUUUUUUUUCUUUUUAUCUUUUUUAUCUUUUUUUUUUCUUUUAUACGACAUUCACUUACUAUUCACGUACUGCAAA